AGAGUUUGAUCAUGGCUCAGGAUUAACGCUAGCGGCAGGCCUAAUACAUGCAAGUCGAACGGGAUUCAAGGUAGCAAUAUUUUGAUGAGAGUGGCGCACGGGUGAGUAACACGUAUGCAAUUUGCCUUUAACUGGGGAAUAGCCCUCCGAAAGGAGGAUUAAUACCGCAUAACAUUUCAGAAUGGCAUCAUUUUGAAAUUAAACCUCCGGGGGUUAAAGAUAAGCAUGCAUCCGAUUAGGUAGUUGGUGUGGUAACGGCACACCAAGCCAACGAUCGGUAGGGGGUCUGAGAGGAUGAUCCCCCACACUGGUACUGAGACACGGACCAGACUCCUACGGGAGGCAGCAGUAAGGAAUAUUGGACAAUGGAGGCAACUCUGAUCCAGCCAUGCCGCGUGAAGGAAUAAGGCCCUAUGGGUUGUAAACUUCUUUUAGACGGGACAAAACCCCUUUACGUGUAAAGGGUUGAUGGUACUGUCAGAAUAAGCAUCGGCUAACUUCGUGCCAGCAGCCGCGGUAAUACGAAGGAUGCAAGCGUUAUCCGGAAUUAUUGGGUUUAAAGGGUGCGUAGGCGGACUGAUAAGUCAGUGGUGAAAGCCUGCAGCUUAACUGCAGAAUUGCCGUUGAUACUGUCAGUCUUGAGUACAGUUGAGGUAGGCGGAAUGUGUCAUGUAGCGGUGAAAUGCUUAGAUAUGACACAGAACACCGAUUGCGAAGGCAGCUUGCUAAGCUGUAACUGACGCCUGAGGCACGAAAGCGUGGGGAGCAAACAGGAUUAGAUACCCUGGUAGUCCACGCCCUAAACGAUGAUAACUCGCUGUUGGCGAUACACAGCCAGCGGCCAAGCGAAAGCAUUAAGUUAUCCACCCUGGGGAGUACGACCGCAAGGUUGAAACCUCAAAGGAAUUGACGGGGGCCCGCACAAGCGGAGGAGCAUGUGGUUUAAUUCGAUGAUACGCGAGGAACCUUAC
rnacentral:rRNA from 1 species